ACUGUGGACUGUACAAGGAACUACGAGUAGCUAAGACGAAAGUAUACAGGAAGAAGCAGUAA
rnacentral:ncRNA from 1 species